rnacentral:rRNA from 1 species
UACGUAGGUGGCAAGCGUUGUCCGGAUUUACUGGGCGUAAGGAGCGCGCAGGCGGUCGUUCAAGUCGCGUGUGAAAGCCCCCGGCUCAACUGGGGAGGGUCACGCGAUACUGUUCGACUCGAAGGCAGGAGAGGGAAGUGGAAUUCCCGGUGUAGUGGUGAAAUGCGUAGAUAUCGGGAGGAACACCAGUGGCGAAGGCGACUUCCUGGCCUGUUCUUGACGCUGAGGCGCGAAAGCUAGGGGAGCAAACGGG